AGUGAACGCUGGCGGUAGGCCUAACACAUGCAAGUCGAACGGCAGCACAGUAAGAGCUUGCUCUUACGGGUGGCGAGUGGCGGACGGGUGAGGAAUACAUCGGAAUCUACUUUUUCGUGGGGGAUAACGUAGGGAAACUUCCGCUAAUACCGCAUACGACCUACGGGUGAAAGCAGGGGAUCUUCGGACCUUGCGCGAUUGAAUGAGCCGAUGUCGGAUUAGCUAGUUGGCGGGGUAAAGGCCCACCAAGGCGACGAUCCGUAGCUGGUCUGAGAGGAUGAUCAGCCACACUGGAACUGAGACACGGUCCAGACUCCUACGGGAGGCAGCAGUGGGGAAUAUUGGACAAUGGGCGCAAGCCUGAUCCAGCCAUACCGCGUGGGUGAAGAAGGCCUUCGGGUUGUAAAGCCCUUUUGUUGGGAAAGAAAAGCAGCAGAUUAAUACCCCGCUGUUCUGACGGUACCCAAAGAAUAAGCACCGGCUAACUUCGUG
rnacentral:rRNA from 1 species